AUGAUGUGAGUGUGUUUGCAUAUUGAUCAGAUGCUUCAGUGCUCUGAGAGUGUUUAUAGUGCUGUGAGUUUAACACUUCAUCACUGACACACACAACAAUCUUCAUCAACAUGACCUUCAUCAUCAUCUGGACACUUUUAUACUGCUUCGUACUACAAGUGUCUAGAGCUCAGAUCACAGUCACUCAGAGUCCUUCGGUGAAAACUGCCACACCAGGAGAAAAUGUUGAGAUUAACUGUAGUCUCAGUAGUCCUGCAUACUGCACAACACCCUGUGUGGCCUGGUACUUACAGAAACCUGGAAAAGCUGCUAAACUCCUGAUUUAUUGGACCAAAAGCCGCACGUCAGGAACUCCAACUAGAUUCAAUGGCAAUGGAUCUCACACUGAUUUAACUCUGACCAUCAGUGGAGUCCAGACUGAAGAUGCUGGACAUUAUUACUGUCAGAGUUUUCACUGCAGAAUAAAUUAUAAUGGCAGCUGUGCGGGUGAUCGUGUGUUCCCACAGUGAUAAAGCGUGGUACAAAAACCUGUGUCAGUCAGAGUCACAGUGACUGAACUGAUGCUGCAGCUGCUCAAACACUAUCACUCACUACUGACACACAGAGACCAAACACAGAACUACACAUGAGCUC